rnacentral:rRNA from 1 species
GAUGAACGCUGUCGGCGUGCCUAAUACAUGCAAGUCGAGCGAACGGACGAGAAGCUUGCUUCUCUGAUGUUAGCGGCGGACGGGUGAGUAACACGUGGAUAACCUACCUAUAAGACUGGGAUAACUUCGGGAAACCGGAGCUAAUACCGGAUAAUAUUUUGAACCGCAUGGUUCAAAAGUGAAAGACGGUCUUGCUGUCACUUAUAGAUGGAUCCGCGCUGCAUUAGCUAGUUGGUAAGGUAACGGCUUACCAAGGCAACGAUGCAUAGCCGACCUGAGAGGGUGAUCGGCCACACUGGAACUGAGACACGGUCCAGACUCCUACGGGAGGCAGCAGUAGGGAAUCUUCCGCAAUGGGCGAAAGCCUGACGGAGCAACGCCGCGUGAGUGAUGAAGGUCUUCGGAUCGUAAAACUCUGUUAUUAGGGAAGAACAUAUGUGUAAGUAACUGUGCACAUCUUGACGGUACCUAAUCAGAAAGCCACGGCUAACUAUGUG